rnacentral:rRNA from 1 species
UACAGAGGGGGCAAGCGUUAUUCGGAAUUAUUGGGCGUAAAGGGCGCGUAGGCGGCGAUUCAAGUGACGGGUGAAAUCCCUCGGCUUAACCGAGGAACUGCCUGUCAGACUGGAUUGCUUGAGGCCGGGAGAGGUGAGUGGAAUUCCCAGUGUAGCGGUGAAAUGCGUAGAUAUUGGGAGGAACACCAGUGGCGAAGGCGGCUCGCUGGACCGGUUCUGACGCUGAGGCGCGAAAGCGUGGGGAGCAAACAGG